UCGACUUUGGAGUAGAUGAUGAUGAUGAUGAUUCUUCUGAUUCUUCCUUGACAGCUGAAGCUUGUGCUAUCUCCAGCUUUCUUGCUUGUGCUAAACGUCUCCUUUUCCUGUAAAGUUUUUUUUGGAUCAUCCACAAAAUUUUCGGUUUGUUGGAGAGGUAGCCGUCCAUCUCCUGUUAGCAUUUGUGAAAGCAAACACAUAUAUACAAGAACUUUUUGAGAUUGAACAAAAACAAAAAUAUUAAAAAGAAAAUACUAAAAAAUCAUGAACAGAAAGUCAUAUGUACAGAUGCAUAGUUAAACUAGAAC
rnacentral:lncRNA from 1 species